rnacentral:rRNA from 1 species
AACGCGAAGAACCUUACCUACCCUUGACAUGUCUGGAAUGCCGAAGAGAUUUGGCAGUGCUCGCAAGAGAACCGGAACACAGGUGCUGCAUGGCUGUCGUCAGCUCGUGUCGUGAGAUGUUGGGUUAAGUCCCGCAACGAGCGCAACCCUUGUCAUUAGUUGCUACGCAAGAGCACUCUAAUGAGACUGCCGGUGACAAACCGGAGGAAGGUGGGGAUGACGUCAAGUCCUCAUGGCCCUUAUGGGUAGGGCUUCACACGUCAUACAAUGGUCGGGACAGAGGGUCGCCAACCCGCGAGGGGGAGCCAAUCUCAGAAACCCGAUCGUAGUCCGGAUCGCAGUCUGCAACUCGACUGCGUGAAGUCGGAAUCGCUAGUAAUCGCGGAUCAGAAUGUCGCGGUGAAUACGUUCCCGGGUCUUGUACACACCG